rnacentral:rRNA from 15 species
UGGAUUGCUUAUACCUUUAUGAAAACUCCCCAUCCCAUUAGCACUGGGAAGAUAAGUAUGAAUGGGCUGAAUCAGUAGUACGGUGGGGGACCACGUGCGAACCCUCAGUGACGACCUGU